rnacentral:rRNA from 1 species
AAAUUUGAAAUCUGGCGCCUUCGGUGUCCGAGUUGUAAUUUGAAGAUUGUAACCUUGGGGUUGGCUCUUGUCUAUGUUUCUUGGAACAGGACGUCACAGAGGGUGAGAAUCCCGUGCGAUGAGAUGCCCAAUUCUAUGUAAGGUGCUUUCGAAGAGUCGA